rnacentral:sRNA from 1 species
GCCUGGUGCGCACCCGUAGUCCAGCUUGGGAGGCUGAGGCAGGAGGACCGCUUGAGCCCAGGGGUUCAAGACAAGCCUGGGCAACAAAGGGAGACCUAUUUCAG